ACGUGGGUGAUCUGCCCUGCACUUCGGGAUAAGCCUGGGAAACUGGGUCUAAUACCGGAUAGGAGCCAUUUUUAGUGUGAUGGUUGGAAAGUUUUUCGGUGUAGGAGUGAGCUCGCGGCCUAUCAGCUUGUUGGUGGGGUAAUGGCCUACCAAGGCGGCGACGGGUAGCCGGCCUGAGAGGGUGGACGGCCACAUUGGGACUGAGAUACGGCCCAG
rnacentral:rRNA from 1 species